AAGACAAGCACUGAGGUAUGCAAGUGUACUGUUAGAAAAAAUGGAAAGGUGACACCACACAUGCAGAUAAUAUGCACCAGAGAUAACAAAAAAUCAUACACAAAGUGUUACACAUUAAAAUAGGGCAUUUGUAGAAGGGGUUAACAACACUCAGUGUGGUUGCCUAUGGUAACCUGCAAGCAUUUGGGGUUUAGCUGUGCCUGUCUAUGGCAGAGUUUUUCAGUUAGAUGUUUCUGGAACAAAAUUUGGAGUGAACGGAGUUUUGUUUCAGAAAAAAGGGGGAGAUACAUAAAAGGAUACAUAAAAACAGAAAAUGUAUUAACCCGACUAACACACACACACACACACACACACACACACACACACACACACACACACACACACGUAAUGAAGAUCAAACACAAUUUUAAGUAGGUAAUACUGUUACCAUCAUCUGGUCUGGUUUAUUGAGUGGGGUGAGAACUGAUACAUAGACGACUGAAUUAGUAUUAUUUUGGGGAACAUGAUAGCAGGGGUGAACAGAAUCCUGCAGCCAGAGUUUAAAUGAGUCAAACUAGCAGAUUUUUUGUUUUUGUUUUGUUUUGUUUUUGUUUCUGAAGUAUGGGGAAGGUUUUACCAUGGCACCAAGUUUUAGAUUUGGUGUCUUCUCACCUAUAAGAGAAAGAAUAUUCUGUGACAAGUCCUAAGACCGGGCUUCUGUAUUUUUUCUUUUUCUUUUGUUUUUCAGUUUUAUUUGUCAUUUUUCAUUUUAUUUUUAUUUUUUGAACAGUGCACUGAUUUCUGUUUGUGAAUUUCUUUUCUUUAAGCAGAUCUGCACGUCGGGAAUUAAAAGUGCUACACGUCGUCAAGAAAAUUGUUGCAAGUGAGUUUCUCCACAUUAAAAUGGGCUCUGGAGAAAGCCACUUAUUUGGGACAAUUAGAAAAUGAGAGUCCCGGCCUAAAAAGGAUUCAGCGAGAGUGGACUCCUGCAAGGAUGGAACAACCUCCCCGCCAGUUGAAGAGCCCCCCAGUUAGGCCGAUGCACAAGAGGCCCCCUGCGCCAGGGCUGAGCCCCCAUGCACCCACCCGCUCACAACCUCGGUGACACACCGACGAGGACCGAAGCCCCCAAGGCCCAGCCAGAGCCCCAGCAUGGAGGCGAAGCACCCCCGAACCCCAAACCCCCACGCCUGCCCCGGAUCCACUCAGGGGCAGCCAGGCCACCAGGCCAGUAACCUACGUCCACCAGUACAGACCAUCCUCCAGCCCCGCUGCACGCAGCCAUGAGGAGAACAACCUCUAAGAGCGACCAGAGCCACUAACCAGGGAUAACGCCUCUAGGUGUCCUCCAGGCGCCCUAAGCCCGCCCCAACUCCAUAUCAACCACAGUAGCUAAGGCGGGACCAAACCACGACCCCCUACCCCCGCUAGGUGAUGGAGCCAAUCAAAGGAGCCCAGAGGGAUUGAUCUAAUGUGGUGGCAGAGGCUAUAUCGAGACUAAUGUGAUCUAUUAGAAGGUUUCUAUAUUGGUUAGAAUUAAGGUUAGAAUUUUUAUUUUUCCAGUUUAUGAGGACCGUUUUAUUGGCGAUGCAUAGGGCAGUAAAAACCAUGUGGACUGUAUUAGUUUCUGUAGUGACCUCAUCCAAUUUUCCCAACAAGCAUACUAAAGGGGAGGUUGGAAUUUUACAUUUCAGACACUUUGAUAAGUCUUCACAUAUCUCGUGCCAAAACUUCUGCACUGGUGGACAGAACCAAAGAGCGUGAAUGUAAUUGUCUGGUGUAUUGCCUUGACAGUGUGAGCAGUUGUUGGAAGAUGUAGAGCCCAUCUUGAACAUCCGAUGACCUGUAUAGUGCACUCUAUGUAGUAUUUUGUAUUGUAUUAAUUGCAGACUGGGAUUUUUAAUCAAUUUAAAGGUUUUUAAGCAUACCUGAGACCAGAAGUUUUGUUCUAAGCUGACUGAUAAAUCUGCUUCCCACUUUGAAAUAGGAAGGGAUGUUGAUUCAUCUAAUUUAGAAAGUGUUCUGUAUAUUUUAGAUAAUAAUUUGGGGGAUUUAAGAGUAAGGAAAUGAGCCACACUUGGUGGUGUUUGUAAUUCAACUUGACUGAGGUUAAAUUUCCUUUUUACUAUGGAUUUAAUUUGUUGAUAUUCUAAAAAUCUUUUCUUGUUGAUCCCAUAUUGUGCAACUAGUCUGUCAAAUGGAAUAAAUUCUGUUCCCUCUAAUAUAUGUUCUAAGUAUUUAAUUCCUUUACAACUCCAUUCUGGGAAAUUAAUCAUAUUAUUGUUUUGUAAUAUGUCAGGGUUUUCCAGAUAGGUGUACGUUUGCAUGGGAUUAAUGAAGACUCAGUUAUUUUUAGAAACUCCCAC
ensembl:lncRNA